ensembl:lncRNA
GUACAGAAGUGGCAUUCAGCCUUUGACAAGCGAAGAGCUACUUUGUCAUCAAACAGAGGCUCACAAAACCAUGAAAGAAUGAACUGAAUUUAAAAUGGAGAAAUGUGCACAGGCAGUUUAUGCGAGAGUUAAUACACUGCUCCAAACAAGUCAGCAAAAUCCACAGCCAGGAACAGUGGUUUUCGGAGCACAGCCAAAGACCCGGACUCAUUGGCUAUCCGUCACCUGUCGCAGAAGACCAGCUCUGUAAACAUGGUAUUCUGGUUUGAAGUGGAAGAAAAUCUUACAAAAUUCUUUUUCUG